rfam:Neurospora crassa OR74A unplaced genomic scaffold supercont12.9, whole genome shotgun sequence.
AACUUUUAAUAAUAGAUCUCUUAGUUCUAGUAUCGAUGAAGAAUAUAGCGAAAUAUAAUAAGUAAUAUAAAUUAUAAAAUUUAAUAAAUUAUUAAAUUUUUAAACGUAUAUUAUGUUUAUUAAUAUUUUAAUAAAUAUAUUUAUUCGAGCGUUA